CUCGACUCCAUGAAGUCGGAAUCGCUAGUUAAUCGCGAAUCAGCAUGUCGCGGUGAAUACGUUCUCGGGUCUUGUACACACCGCCCGUCACACCAUGGAAGUGGAUUGCACCAGAAGUAGAUAGUCUAACCUUCGGGAGGGCGUUUACCACGGUGUGCUUCAUGACUGGGGUGAAGUCGUUACAAGGUAUCCGUAGGGGAACCUGUGGCUGGAUCACCUCCUU
rnacentral:rRNA from 1 species